rnacentral:rRNA from 1 species
GGCUGAAACUCGCCUACAUGAAGCUGGAAUCGCUAGUAAUCGCGGAUCAGAAUGCCGCGGUGAAUACGUUCCCGGGUCUUGUACACACCGCCCGUCACACCAUGGGAGUCGGAAAUGCCCGAAGUCUGUGACCCAACCGCGAGGAGGGAGCAGCCGAAGGCAGGUCGGAUGACUGGGGUGAAGUCGUAACAAGGUAUC